rnacentral:rRNA from 1 species
AUGGGGCUUUCAGUGAUCUUGCCCAUGUGGAAUGAUUUGCAUGUCUCAAGUGAUUCAAAAUCAAGUGAGUCCAAACGGUCCAUUUGGAUGGAGUUUCUUCAUGCAUAUACACCAAUAGACAUGGUUCGCAUGCCUCAAACUUUUCAAAAACGAGUGAGCCCAAAGAUCCAUCAACAUGGAGCUUCUUCAUGCGUUUUAUACCGAUAUGACUUGCGUGGCAGUGCCACAAGUAGGUGGUACUAUCAUUACUAUCUUAUAUCUUUUGACAUGAACAUGUGUAUCACUACGAUGAGAUUCAAUAAACCAUUCAUUUUAGGUGCAAGACCAUUGAAGGUAUUAUUCAAAUAA